UGAAGCCUCACUUGGGGAGAAGCAGUGCGUUUUAUCACAGGGCUGGAUAGCACAAGUUGUGCUGGGGAGGUGCACAGAAAUACACAUGUGUGCGUGUGGGUUUUGGCAUGUGCACACCAGGCCUGGGAGAAUUUUCUAUGGCUUCGCAGACUGGAUUUCCAAGCGGGAGCCGGCAUGAGCACAUACCUCUUCCAUUUGCUACCCACGGCCCCAGCUGGCCAGUGAGGUUCAGAGAAACUCGCUCUGCAGCUGCCUCAGCUCUGCCCGAAGCUCUGUGGCCCGGAUGGUGGGCAGAGAACUGAACCGGGACAGAAAGGCAUCUCAGAGCCGUGCAGAGGAGCUCAGCCUCUCACCGCCUUCCUGGGGGUCUUCCGAAUACUUCUGAGCCUAGGAGCAUCUUCUCCAACAGGCAAGUCAGUAGGUUUCCCAGAGGAAUGAGGACACAAGCCUCGGCCAGGCUUACCAUUGAGCAUCUGUCCACAAAGCGCUGACUCUGCGCCAUGAGCCGCGCUAGGCACUCUCUCACUGAGUCCUCACAACAGCCCUACGAGAAAAAUCAAAAUGUUCAUGGAAUGUAGCUUCUCCGUGGAGGGUUUUCUAAGGUGGGAACUUCAAUAUCAUCAAAGAGACCGGUGUGUGGCCGUGACAUUCAGGACUGGGCUGUGAGGUCUGUUUUCUGCACAUGAACUGACCGCACUAACCAGCCCCGGAAAAGUCUGGGGCACCGGGCACCUGGUCAGCUCCCGGUCCAGAGCGACCCUUUGUGGGUCAUCGCCCCCCACUUCACAAUCUGGGAGAAGCGUGCCUCCUCCAUCCAGGACAACGGCGCCAGAGCGUUGACUUGGAGAAGCCGACAAGCCCACCGAUUCAAGGCAACAGAGAAUGAAGAAAGGAUGGAGGAGAAGGGUGGAAAGAGCUACGAGAGAGAGAUGCAGGGGUGAUACCGGGGGGCAGGACAUUGUGGCAGGCUCCAUGGCCCAGAACUUGCAGAAGAAUCCCCCUUCGGGCUGCUGACUGAGAAAUGCCUGCUGCACACUCCGCCAAGUCUGCCAAGGUCCACGGCGGUUCAACAAGGUUCUCCACCCACGUGCAACCACCUCUGAAGGAGCUCAUCAAGGCAACCUUGUCGCUGAUCUCUGCCUCGAAGCUUGUCAACCUCAGGCCAAGGUUUUUACUGAGGCUACCAGAGGUAACUGUGGCCUUCUCUGAGUCACCUCAGAGCAUCUGGUUCCAGUGCUGUCUUGGACUCUCUGCUGCCAACGCCAGUCCCUUGCUUCCCAGGCCUUGGUGCACGGUCCCCCGGGGGGGCUUCACUGGGAGAAGACCACCCUCAUCCAUGGAAGGCAGGGUUCUCCGGAAGCCUGACCUCCAAACAGGACAUGAGUGACCGUGUCCUAAUUUCUUCUUGCUCCUCGCCCUGGGGGUGGCAGAAGACGGAAUCCAUCUCAGGCCUGCCCCACACGGCUACUACGCUCAGAAUCUCUGUUUUCACUCGGCGGGGAUGAUUCUGCACACCCCGAGGCUGGAGAUGCCCCUCACGCAAACCCUGGGCAUUUCACCGCAGCAUGAAAUAAGCCACAAAUGGUUCUGCAGCAAUGCAAAUUGGCCUCGUUUAUGUAUUUGGCUGGGCUGUGAAAUACUGGGUGUCCAGUGCAUUUUUGCAAAUCAGGUCUUGUUGGAAAUCCACCACGGGAAUUAGCCAGUGAAAACGAGACAGCCCGAGCAGCAAGAAUGAUAAGCAGGGAAGCCUGGCUUUAUGCUGUGGGAGCCCGGUGGUUUCCCUUAGGAAGUUCGUUUUUAUCAUUUGCCGUGCAGUUAACCUGAAGCAUGGCUGCCCAUCCAGCAUGCUGGCGGCGCCUGCUAGGAGUUCACACUUAGGGAACUGUGGGUUGUGUGAGGAGGCUGUGCCGGGCAGGUUAUACACUUGGCCUUAAAGGCAUCUUCACUGCAACCUCUGAGGGGCUGUUAUUUCUCUUCCCAUGUAGUGAAAUGAGUGCAUGAAGGCAAGUACGGGUAAGGUCGCUCUGGCCUGUGCAUUGCAUCUCGCCUUUCUCUUGCGUUUUGUGACCUUUUACCUACUGUCUCCCACAGCCCCUCCUCCUCCCCCUCCUUCCAACUCUGUUUUCUUUGAUUCUGUAGGUCCACUUGGCGCCAGUUCAGCAAAUGCCAAGUAUGUUUAUGGCCACAUUCUGUUGUGGACAUGGACAAAGAUUAAAGAGAGUUUAUUUGUUGUGGUGGAAUCCAAGGCCUUGUUGUUGAGGCUUAAAUUUUGUCAAUGUUGCAACAUAUGUUGUAUUUUGAAUCAAAGCCGGUCCCUUUCUUCUCUUCCCUUCUUCUCUUCCAUCUUUCUUUUCUUCUUUUCUUCUUCUGUCAUAGCAGCAAAGCCAAAAAGCCUGCUCUGAAAAGUGCUGAUAAUCUGCCUGUAGGCAAAAGGCAAAUCAAAUAGUUCUUCUGAGCCUGGGGCUACUUCAGCAAGAGUUAGGUUCUGGUAGUUUCUCAGCCACAAAAAUGAGAGCAGUUGUCUUGGAGGAAGAGAUUGGCCUGAGAGUAGGAAUCUGGGGUGCACAGAAGUCACAGGUGAGACCCCCCCCCCUCACCCCAGGGGGCUAGAAAGUCCAGGACGACUCAGGGGUUAGGAGGCAUCACUGGGGCGUCGUCCAAGUGGGUAACGUGCCUGACUAAGCAAACCUGGGAGUGAACACGUGUGUCUCUGCAAGGAGCAAUUCUCAUUCAGGGGUUCUGCACGCCCGCCCCUGUCAUUUCCAGAUCCUCCAGAUCUUAAGGGAUCUUUUUGGAUGGAAGCAGGAUGUGUGCAUUGUUCUGCGAAAUUCCUCCAUUUCUGAAUGAUGGUGGUUCAUUCAAGAUAUGGGAAGGACCACGUGCAUGGGUGAAAUGCAGCCUGGGGGUCGCCAUGAUGGCUUCUCCGGCCUCCUUCUGAGGACUGGGAGGGUGUUCUGAGUCAUGCAGGAGAGAGAAAUGAGGGCUCUUGAAGAUGACAAUGGUCCCCGUAAUUGAAGAGCUCUCGAACUAAGGCAAGUGUUGCCUUUCCCUUCCCUUAAACUUAUAUUCAAAGACUUUGGUUGAAACACACGGAGCAACCCCAAGUACCCCCAAGUGAUACCUUGCAAAUUCAGGCUACAAACUGGGCUUCGAUCUAGCUGUAAAAUGAGAGAACCUGGGAGGCAGGGGCAAGUCAGGUGUAAGUCCACAGGCUUGGGCUGAAGCCAGAGAGGAAGGGGCGUACUCCGAGGAUUUUUCUCUCAAACCAAAGCAGAGAGGGGUGAGAAAUCGCAACCAGAAGCAGGACAGUUUCUGGAACGUGCUGAAUAAUGGAGCCUAUCAAAACAAUCUGGAAAUUAAGAGGCAAGCGAGGCAAGGAGGGGCUAACAUGUUCUCUAAUUCAGCCGAAACAAUUCCUGCAAAGGCAUCCGGUCAACAUCUCAUGGCUCUUGGGGGACCUGGGGCCCCCACAGGUAAUGUCCUGUGCCCAGGGUGUGUGCAGAUUGUUGGGGCUGGGCAAAUCUCAGCCCCCCCUCCACCACCUACCUUUCCAGCUGCUGUUGUGCAGGGCAGGAUGGGAACCUCUCAGAGCUUCAUUGAUAAAACGGGAAAUGCACUCCCUGGUGAGGUGGCUGUCGUGAGAACAGAGAGAGUGGAAUGUGACAGCCUUUAAUAGCGGGACACGUGCCCCGUGGCGGGCCCGGCUCACCUUACUUAGCCUCACUACUUCCACGCUCCCGCCAACGUCAUUGUUGACAGGGCGCAUGUAAGCCCCCGGUGAGUGCAGUGGGGCCGCUUCCACCACUGUUCUCAUUCUGAUCACAGCAGACGUGCACAUCUCAUUCCGGGUGGGAGGUGACAUCCCCGAAUCCUCUGGGUGACACCCCGGGAGACCUUCCCUGGCCACACAAGAAGCCUAACCACUCCUGCCCUCCGAGAGUCAGCCUGGAACACACACACCGGCUUCCCUGGGCUCGUGCCCGAACCCUUGAACGUAGUAAACAGUGUGAAAUGAAGAUGGAUGGCCUUUUUUUGUAAGUAGAUUUGAAGAGUUUUUCUUCUACACCCAUUAUUACCUCUGAUGUAAUGCUCGCCCAGGACUGACGCCUACUACGUAUGUUUUGCAGAAAAGAAGUGUGUUGUUUUCCCUCCCGGUAGCAAAAGCAAUUUAUGCCUGCUAUGGUCGGCUCGGAACCCGUAAGCAGGCUGGAUGCCGUGUGCUGUGAAAGGCCGUGAAUGAGGCUGAGUGGUCUUUGGAAAGGAAAAUUGCAAACCCCACUUGGAAACUGCAGGGACAGAGGGUGGCUACUUUCUUGGCCGAACCCCCGUGGGCCCCCCACCUCAGGCUUCCCUGGGCCCGGCACAGGGCCUGGCGGGGGGCAGAUGCUCGGGAAAGCUGUGAGCUUGCUGCUGGCAAUGUCCUGUGCCCAGGGUGUGUGCAGAUUGUCGGGGCUGGGCAGGGGCGCUUCUGGCUGUCAGAACGGGUCAUGGCAAGUCACGGGCACGGGCUAAGAAUGGUUGAGAGGGACAGUCCCAACAGAGGGCCGUGCACACUCAGUGCCGGGAACCACAGUUCUAGGUGCACUGUGGGGGGGGGCGUGGAGUGAGCUCAUGGUGGUAGCCCUCUGGACAGCCAAGUUAUGAAAGCUUUAGAAUUAUGUAUCGUUUCAUGUGCCUUUUCAGAUCUGCAGUUUAAUUAUUUUCCUCCAAAGAACUUAUGUGAUAUACAAGGUCUGUCUGGAUAAAGUCCAGCCACUGUUAAUAUAACGAGAACGGUUUGCAUGGCAUUGAUGUAACCUGGCAGCUGAGUGGACUGGAAUGCGCAUGUGUGAACAAUAAUGCCUUCGCUAUACAAGUCAGUGGAGGUGGGAGACAGCGCUAAGUGAGCGUGUGUGCUGUGUGGCCGUCUCAUUCAAAAUGACUGAGUGGGUGGAGAAACGAAUCUGCAUCAGAUAUUGCAUUAAAGCUUGAACAUUCCUCUGGAAACUAUUCAGAUGAUUCAGAAGGCCGCAGCUAUGGGCAGCUGGUGAUUGGCAGCUUCAUCAUGACAAUGCACCUGCUCAUGCAUCACGUCUCAUGCAGAGAUUUUUGGUGAAACAUCAACUCGCCCAGGUGAUCCAGCCUCCGCUACAGCCCAGAUUUGGCACCCUGCGACUUCUGGCUUUUCCCCAAACUAAAACCACCUUUGAAAAGGAAGAUAUUCCAGCCCUGGCUGGUGUAGCUCAGUGAAUUGAGCAGGGGCCUGUGAACCAAAGAAUCACAGUUCGAUUCCCAGUCAAGGCACAGGCCUGGCUUGCAGGCCAGUUCCCAGCAGGGGAUGCACACGAGAGGCAACCACACAUUGAUAUUUCUCUCCCUCUCUCCUUCCCUUCCCUCUAAAGAUAAAUAGAUAAAAUUAAAAGAAAAGGAAGAGAUUUCAGACCAUUGAUGAGAUUCGGAAAAAUACAACAGGGCAGCUGAUGGUGACUGGGAGAACUGUGUGAGGUCCCAAGGUGCCUACUGUGAAGGGGACUGAGGUGUCAUUGUCCUGUGUGCAAUGUUUCUUGUAUCUUCUUCAA